rnacentral:rRNA from 1 species
GAUGAACGCUGGCGGUAUGCUUAACACAUGCAAGUCGAACGGUGUCUUCGGACACAGUGGCGGACGGGUGAGUAACGCGUGAGAAUCUGGCUUUAGGUCUGGGACAACCACUGGAAACGGUGGCUAAUACCGGAUGUGCCGAAAGGUGAAAGGUUAACUGCCUGAAGAUGAGCUCGCGUCUGAUUAGCUAGUUGGUGUGGUAAGAGCGCACCAAGGCGACGAUCAGUAGCUGGUCUGAGAGGACGAUCAGCCACACUGGGACUGAGACACGGCCCAGACUCCUACGGGAGGCAGCAGUGGGGAAUUUUCCGCAAUGGGCGAAAGCCUGACGGAGCAAUACCGCGUGAGGGAGGAAGGCUCUUGGGUCGUAAACCUCUUUUCUCAGGGAAGAACACAAUGACGGUACCUGAGGAAUAAGCAUCGGCUAACUCCGUGCCAGCAGCCGCGGUAAUACGGAGGAUGCAAGCGUUAUCCGGAAUGAUUGGGCGUAAAGCGUCCGCAGGUGGCUAUGUAAGUCUGCUGUUAAAGAGUCUAGCUCAACUAGAUAAGAGCAGUGGAAACUACAAGGCUAGAGUGCGUUCGGGGCAGAGGGAAUUCCUGGUGUAGCGGUGAAAUGCGUAGAGAUCAGGAAGAACACCGGUGGCGAAGGCGCUCUGCUAGGCCGCAACUGACACUGAGGGACGAAAGCUAGGGGAGCGAAUGGGAUUAGAUACCCCAGUAGUCCUAGCCGUAAACGAUGGAUACUAGGCGUGGCUUGUAUCGACCCGAGCCGUGCCGUAGCUAACGCGUUAAGUAUCCCGCCUGGGGAGUACGCCGGCAACGGUGAAACUCAAAGGAAUUGAC